rfam:Homo sapiens chromosome 4, GRCh38 reference primary assembly.
GCCGGGUAUGGUGGUGCAUGCCUGUAAUCCCAGCUACUUGGAAGGCUGAGGCAGGAGAAUUGCUUGAACCCAGGAGGUGGAGGUUGCAGUGAGCCAAGAUCUUGCCACUGCACUUCCAGCCUGGGCAACAGAGCAAGACUCUGUUUCAA